rnacentral:rRNA from 1 species
GACGAACGCUGGCGGCGUGCUUAACACAUGCAAGUCGAACGAAGAGCGAUGGAAGCUUGCUUCUAUCAAUCUUAGUGGCGAACGGGAGAGUAACGCGUAAUCAACCUGCCCUUCAGAGGGGGACAACAGUUGGAAACGACUGCUAAUACCGCAUACGAUCUAAUCUCGGCAUCGAGGAUAGAUGAAAGGUGGCCUCUACAUGUAAGCUAUCACUGAAGGAGGGGAUUGCGUCUGAUUAGCUAGUUGGAGGGGUAACGGCCCACCAAGGCGAUGAUCAGUGGCCGGUCUGAGAGGAUGAACGGCCACAUUGGGACUGGGACACGGCCCAGACUCCUACGGGAGGGAGCAGUGGGGAAUCUUCCGCAAUGGACGAAAGUCUGACGGAGCAACGCCGCGUGAGUGAUGACGGCCUUCGGGUUGUAAAGCUCUGUUAAUCGGGACGAAAGGCCUUCUUGCGAAUAGUGAGAAGGAUUGACGGUACCGGAAUAGAAAGCCACGGCUAACUACGUG